GUUCUGGCACCAACAGCACAAUACAAAAUAUGAGAUGGCAACCAUGGCGACAACAGGAGCUAAGACUCGCAACGACACAGCCUGGCAUUCACCAAAGAGCCUUUUUGUGUCACACACGCUUGGAACGGAAAUGCCACUUUUUUUCUUUGUUUAUACAUGAAAAGACCAACUCUCAGUACUUUGCGACCUCCUGCUUCUGCCAUACAUGUUCACUGAUGUCUGCUGAAGAGCUUGUACUUUUCCAUUCAGAACCUAUCCUGAGGUAUUCGCUGAUUGCUUUCUUUAAAGCUCCAAGAUGCCACAAAAUGGCGCCAGAGGCCUGAAAGUUAUAAAAAUACAGCUCGACUAAGAGACAACUUCUUUGUGAGUCGGGGAGGAGCUAAGUUUAGCAUGGGUUGUGAGCGGGAGGUUUUCCAGAAUCAAGUAAUCUGAAAAGCCUUUUAUUUUUAAGGGUGGUGUUGUAAAAUUACUAUAAGAUGAUAGUAAACUGUUUUGGGAUCAUAGUUUAAAGUAAAUUUGUAGGGUUUUAUUUCCCUCCGUGUUUUGUUGUUUCUCUUCUUUGAGCAGAGCGAUUUUGUUUUUAACUGAUGCUUGGUGCAUUUUGUGCAAUAAUAAAAUAUAUAACCGUUUUGAAUUUGAAUUAAACCAUAUUUUAGUUUUCCAAUUACGAAGAGUUCUGGUAAUGCGCGUAGGAAACUCAGUACCUCUAACAAGGUUAAGAACCUCUGCUGUAAGGAAAUCGGAGUGUCAGUCGCCCAUGUCUAGAACAAGUCGAAUUUUUGAAGGACACACAGAAAAUGCCAAAUUGAGCCGAUAAUGGCUGCUUCAAACCAAAAUGGUAGACUUCCUGUGUCUUUUUAGGCAUGAAUUCUUGAGGCUUUUUCACGGGUCUACUCAUGAUAGACAUGCCUAUCGGGUUUCAUGUUAUUAAGUGAAACUGGAUUCAGGAACUUGAAAAAAAAAUUCCACAGAGUGCUACCAAAGCCUAUCAGACGUACUGCAAAUGUUCACCAAAAUUUGCAGGCCUGUGGAAAACCUGAGAAUGGGAAAAGCUAAGAAUAACAACGACAAAGAGACAAAGCCAUUUCAAGAGGCCUUUUGCAGCACUCUGCUUGCGCACUAAUAAUAAUAACCCAUAUUUGUAUGUGAAAUGAAUACCUCCAUGAACACAAUUAUAGAAAGCCAGUAGUUUUGUGUAUUGGUUCUGAUUAAAGUGUGCAAGCGUACCUAUUGAAAUGGCUAGUGGGUUCCAGUGGGCGUGUGUGCUGCUGCGGAGGGAUUAAAUGGAAGCACAUGAUGUUGCUACCAUGUGAUGUGGCAUUCUGCUUCCAGCUGUAUGCUAUUUCUGUUAGCACAUUUGCUGCUUGGUCAAAUAUUUAAUACAUAUUUUGUUUGAAGGGUCCGGGCCUAUCUCAUGCAAGUGAGCAACUGUAUACGCCGUCACCUCAUACACUGCUGGGCCAAUGGCGAGUACGGUUUUUGUUACCAUGACGACCAGGGCCAGACUUCUACUACUACUACUACUACUUUUGACUACAGCAGCUUCUACUCAAGAGAGCAGACAACAGACUGCGAAAGACAAUAAAAGCAUUUUCAAACACUUCA